GAUGAACGCUGGCGGCGUGCCUAAUACAUGCAAGUCGAACGGGGAGUAGCAAUACUCUUAGUGGCGAACGGGUGAGUAACGCGUUGGUACCUGCCCCGAAGCGGGGGAUAACGGACCGAAAGGUCCGCUAAUACCCCAUGUGCUCGGUAACGAGUAAAGGUGAAAACCACUUUGGGAGGGGCCUGCGUCCCAUCAGCUAGUUGGUAAGGUAACGGCUUACCAAGGCGAUGACGGGUAGGGGACCUGAGAGGGUGGCCCCCCACAAUGGAACUGAAACACGGUCCAUACACCUACGGGUGGCAGCAGUAGGGAAUAUUGGUAAUGGGCGCAAGCCUGAACCAGCAACGCCGCGUGUGCGAUGACGGCCUUCGGGUUGUAAAGCACUUUUGACUGGGACGAGGAAGGACGGUACCGGUCGAAUCAGCCUCGGCUAACUACGUG
rnacentral:rRNA from 1 species